UGAAUGGUAUGUAAGUAAAUUCCCGGCAUGAGCAUGUCAUGAGACUGAAAUGGCAUGAUAGACACUGGAUGAAAAGAGAGUAAGGGCAGAAGCAAAACCCCAUCAUACAAAGGGUCAUUCCUGUUUUCCCUAUGAUAUGUUAAAUCGUGAAUUUCUCUCAAAAUAAUUUAACAGUAGACUCAGUUGCUUCUUGAAGUGCAGUGAAAGCAAAGCAGAAGCCUAGGGAUAGUCUUACUGGCAGAUGCACAUCUUCACCCAUUGAUGAAAUCCAUGAGGACUCUUAAAUAUGUGAAAUUCAACUUGUACUCUCAAUCAAAACGAGCCAGUUUCUGGGGAAGAAAUAUGUGUGCGUGCGUGUUUUCUUUCGGUUUCUCGACUGAAAGUGGAACAAAUUAGUCACUGUGUUGCCAUCUGAAGAUCUGUCAAAGUCGAGAAGGCUGGUCCUUUGUGGUUACCCCCCAUACUUCUUCUCCUUUCAAGACAUGACAUGCAAAAGAAAUGUGAAUAAAUUAAGAAGAGUUCAGUCCGGGUCUCGUUGGAAUGCCUUAUAUAGACAGUGCUUUCAAAUGUGGCCCCUCAAAUUCCUGCUGCUGGACAGAUCUUACAGGCUGCAGAAUAGCUGUUCUCCGAAUACCUAAAUGCCAAAGGUUGUAUGUUCGCAUUACUGGCCUUUUCCUCCACAUCACAGGAACCAACACUUCAGUGAGACACUUUCUUCAAGCUUCAGCAUGCAAUGAGGUUUAUGAUCCGAUUACUGCUUUGCAAAACGGUUCCAUCUCCUGUCAAGAGUGGGUGAGCAAGUCCAUCUGCAGGUUCACAAACCUGGCUGCACUGUAUGUACCCACAACGGUGGUUUGACUUGUUACGACCCAUAAAGUACGGCGUUUGCUUUCAAAACCACUUGCUGCCUUGAAUGCAGAAUUAAGAAAGCCAAAAGAGCUCUUUCCAACUGCACUGGGGGACCCUAGUGUCUCUUCUACCUUGUUAGUGAGUGAGUCGGCAUCUUCCUUGGGAAGACCGAUUCCAUAGUCAGGGAAUGUUAGUAGUGGUUCAAAUAUUGCCCCUUUUACCUUAAAGCCAUGCCCUGUUACUCAUUGCCAUGGCAUCAGAGAAUGUGCUGUCCAAGAGAUCAGUGGUACAUUCCUCACAUAACCAUAGGUAUCAUGCAUGACUUCGAACAAAUCACUUAAUCUCUCUGCCCCUUGGUUCCUCGUUUGCAAAUUGGGGGCAGUUAGAGUUUUUUCAUGCUGUUGCCUAGUUAGAAGUCAAUGGAUUUACACAGAUUUAGGGGUACACUGGAUGCAGAUAUACGGAUUUACACAGGAUGUUGUUUGUUAUUUGUUAAUGGUAUACCCAAACCCGGAGAUGUGGUAAUUGAUCUAAUUUCAACCUGAAUUAUUAAAUAUGAGUCUGAAUGGGGGAAGUAGGUUCAACUCGCACCUGAGUUUUGCUAUGUUCAG
rnacentral:lncRNA from 1 species